AUUUAAUGUUUUCGUUAAUAAUUAUUUGAAAUUGGCAGAAUUAUAACUUUUUACAGGCCAACAUUAGUUAUGUUAAAUGACAGUUUACCUCAAACGGCUACGUGUACGUUACUCGCAUAAUCGUGUUAAGACGAAAGAUUAAUACAGUUUUAUUAAGUAUCAGACAGUGACGGAAAGCUGAAAUAUGUGAAUAUCUGUUAAAAAAAAAAGAGGAAAGAGUCGUUUCUGACACUGAAAAGCGAAUUUAACAUUUAACGUUAAGUGAGUCAAAUGAGUUAAAAUAAGUGAAUAUGACUUUCUGCUCUAAUACAAAUGCCUGCAGUUGUCCAUAUCGACAUGUAAAUCAUACAAAUUACGUACAAUGUCGCUGGACCGCAGGUCUAAAAGAACCGACGAUCCGGUUCAAAUAAACCGGUUCUUCAAUUCUCGGACAAGAAGUGAUUCCCGGAAAAGAAUCGACGUCUCAGGGCCUCGAUACAUUUUAAAGUGCGCGCACGCACAGCGAGUGAAGUAGGCCGCGUUAGUGAGGUGAUUUUUGAUGCCUGUGUGGUUUAAAGUCUUUUUACAUACGUAAAUAAAGGUUUUUGGUAAGUCGUAAUUCAAAAUGUUGUUUUUUCUUGUCAGAAGAGCACAUGGAUAACGUUACAUUUGUGAGAGAAAAACUCGUCGAGUGCAGUCUUAUCGAGACGUCUAACGGUUGGAACAAACAUGGAAUUCCUUAACCGAGCAGAGUCCACAAAACCCCAUCCAUUUGUCAUGAGGAUUUGAAAAUGCCAGCAGAUCUAUCAGACAUUGAUCAUAAUCAAUGGACAGGUCACCGUAGCCACUGGGAUCCAGUCUGUAUUCAGAUCAGAUGGUGGAUCAGCACCUAGAGA